GAUGAACGCUGGCGGCGUGCCUAAUACAUGCAAGUCGAGCGAACGGACGAGAAGCUUGCUUCUCUGAUGUUAGCGGCGGACGGGUGAGUAACACGUGGAUAACCUACCUAUAAGACUGGGAUAAAUUCGGGAAACCGGAGCUAAUACCGGAUAAUAUUUUGAACCGCAUGGUUCAAAAGUGAAAGACGGUCUUGCUGUCACUUAUAGAUGGAUCCGCGCUGCAUUAGCUAGUUGGUAAGGUAACGGCUUACCAAGGCAACGAUGCAUAGCCGACCUGAGAGGGUGAUCGGCCACACUGGAACUGAGACACGGUCCAGACUCCUACGGGAGGCAGCAGUAGGGAAUCUUCCGCAAUGGGCGCAAGCCUGACGGAGCAACGCCGCGUGAGUGAUGAAGGUCUUCGGAUCGUAAAACUCUGUUAUUAGGGAAGAACAUAUGUGUAAGUAACUGUGCACAUCUUGACGGUACCUAAUCAGAAAGCCCCGGCUAACUACGUG
rnacentral:rRNA from 1 species